GCGCCAAAUCUCGUCCGGAACACUUCGAACAUAUUCGUGCACAGAGCUGCGUCGCAUCGCACACCGAACCUAACCUAACCACAGCAGGACUCGGGCCAACGAAACGUAUCAUCCUGUACAACACAAUCGACGAUCGCGUUAUUAUGUUCGUGUGUAUUAUUAAUUGGAACGGUGCACUAACAAGGUUGUGCGUCGCACGAAACCGGUAGGGCUGGAAAAAAAGGAACCAACGGUUCAUUGAUUGACGACAUUUUAAAUUUUAAAAUGUGUUAACCAUGAUUAUUUUUUUCUGUUCGAAAAUGUAACUCAACGUCUAUAGGUGCCUGAUAAUGUUUAACUAUGAAUUAAACGGCGUAAUGAUGCACGAGUGGAAUACAAUUGAGAACGUUUAUAUCUGCUAACUUUUGUGCAACGUUGCCGCA